rnacentral:rRNA from 1 species
GACGUAGGGCGCGAGCGUUGUCCGGAAUUAUUGGGCGUAAAGAGCUCGUAGGCGGUCUGUCACGUCGGCUGUGAAAACCUGGGGCUCAACCCCAGGCCUGCAGUCGAUACGGGCAGACUAGAGUCCGGCAGGGGAGACUGGAAUUCCUGGUGUAGCGGUGAAAUGCGCAGAUAUCAGGAGGAACACCGGUGGCGAAGGCGGGUCUCUGGGCCGGAACUGACGCUGAGGAGCGAAAGCGUGGGGAGCGAACAGGA